GACGAACGCUGGCGGCGUGCUUAACACAUGCAAGUCGAACGAUGAACCCGGAGCUUGCUCCGGUGGAUUAGUGGCGAACGGGUGAGUAACACGUGAGUAACCUGCCCUUGACUCUGGGAUAACUGCGGGAAACUGUAGCUAAUACCGGAUACGACCCUCGGCGGCAUCGCCAGGGGGUGGAAAGAAUUUCGGUCAAGGAUGGACUCGCGGCCUAUCAGCUAGUUGGUGAGGUAACGGCUCACCAAGGCUUCGACGGGUAGCCGGCCUGAGAGGGUGACCGGCCACACUGGGACUGAGACACGGCCCAGACUCCUACGGGAGGCAGCAGUGGGGAAUAUUGGACAAUGGGCGGAAGCCUGAUCCAGCAACGCCGCGUGAGGGAUGACGGCCUUCGGGUUGUAAACCUCUUUCAGCACAGACGAAGUUUUGUCUUUUUGGGCGAAGUGACGGUAUGUGCAGAAGAAGGACCGGCCAACUACGUGCCAGCCGCCGCCGUAA
rnacentral:rRNA from 1 species